CCAAAGGCUCUUUUAAGAGCCACUCACUUGUCCGCUGGAGAGAGCU
rfam:Colius striatus contig100529, whole genome shotgun sequence.